GACGAACGCUGGCGGCGUGCUUAACACAUGCAAGUCGAACGGAAAGGCCCUGCUUUUGUGGGGUGCUCGAGUGGCGAACGGGUGAGUAACACGUGAGUAACCUGCCCUUGACUUUGGGAUAACUUCAGGAAACUGGGGCUAAUACCGGAUAGGAGCUCCUGCUGCAUGGUGGGGGUUGGAAAGUUUCGGCGGUUGGGGAUGGACUCGCGGCUUAUCAGCUUGUUGGUGGGGUAGUGGCUUACCAAGGCUUUGACGGGUAGCCGGCCUGAGAGGGUGACCGGCGACAUUGGGACUGAGAUACGGCCCAGACUCGUACGGGAGGCAGCAGUGGGGAAUAUUGCACAAUGGGCGGAAGCCUGAUGCAGCAACGCCGCGUGCGGGAUGUCGGCCUUCGGGUUGUAAACCGCUUUCGCCUGUGACGAAGCGUGAGUGACGGUAAUGGGUAAAGAAGCACCGGCUAACUACGUG
rnacentral:rRNA from 1 species